rnacentral:rRNA from 1 species
CAGACCUCUAAUCGGAAAAGACUACCCGCUGAGUUUAAGCAUAUCAAUAAGCCGGAAGGAAU